GAUGAACGCUAGCGGCAGGCUUAAUACAUGCAAGUCGAGGGGCAGCAUGAUUGUAGCAAUACAAUUGAUGGCGACCGGCAAACGGGUGCGGAACACGUACACAACCUUCCAACAAGUGGGGGAUAGCCCAGAGAAAUUUGGAUUAAUACCCCGUAACAUAGCGAUGUGGCAUCACAUUGCUAUUAUAGAUUUUUCGCUUGUUGAUGGGUGUGCGGCUGAUUAGAUAGUUGGCGGGGUAACGGCCCACCAAGUCUACGAUCAGUAGCUGAUGUGAGAGCAUGAUCAGCCACACGGGCACUGAGACACGGGCCCGACCCCUACGGGAGGCAGCAGUAAGGAAUAUUGGACAAUGGACGCAAGUCUGAUCCAGCCAAGCCGCGUGAAGGAUUAAGGUCCUCUGGAUUGUAAACUUCUUUUAUAAGGGACGAAAAAAGGCUUUUCUAAGUCGUCUGACGGUACCUUAUGAAUAAGCACCGGCUAACUCCGUGCCAGCAGCCGCAGUAACAC
rnacentral:rRNA from 1 species